UACGUAGGGGGCUAGCGUUGUCCGGAAUCAUUGGGCGUAAAGAGCUCGUAGGCGGUUUGUCGCGUCGGCCGUGAAAACUUGGGGCUUAACCCCGAGCCUGCGGUCGAUACGGGCAGACUUGAGUUCGGCAGGGGAGACUGGAAUUCCUGGUGUAGCGGUGAAAUGCGCAGAUAUCAGGAGGAACACCGGUGGCGAAGGCGGGUCUCUGGGCCGAUACUGACGCUGAGGAGCGAAAGCGUGGGGAGCGAACAGG
rnacentral:rRNA from 1 species